UACGGAGGGGGCUAGCGUUGUUCGGAAUUACUGGGCGUAAAGCGCACGUAGGCGGCUUUGUAAGUUAGAGGUGAAAGCCCGGGGCUCAACUCCGGAACUGCCUUUAAGACUGCAUCGCUUGAAUUGUGGAGAGGUAAGUGGAAUUCCGAGUGUAGAGGUGAAAUUCGUAGAUAUUCGGAAGAACACCAGUGGCGAAGGCGACUUACUGGACACAUAUUGACGCUGAGGUGCGAAAGCGUGGGGAGCAAACAGG
rnacentral:rRNA from 1 species